rnacentral:rRNA from 1 species
GACGAACGCUGGCGGCGUGCCUAACACAUGCAAGUCGAGCGGAGACAUUAAGUAGCAAUACGAGGUGUUUUAGCGGCGGACGGGUGAGUAACGCGUGAGCAACCUGUCCCUCAACAGGGGGAUAACGAACCGAAAGGUUCACUAAUACCGCAUAAGACCACGAGGCCACAUGGCCAAGGGGUAAAAGGAGAAAUCCGGUUGAGAGUGGGCUCGCGUCUGAUUAGCUAGUUGGUGGGGUAACGCCUACCAAGCGACGAUCAGUAGCCGACCUGAGAGGUGAUCGGCCACACUGGGACUGAGACACGGCCCAGACUCCUACGGGAGGCAGCAGUGGGGAAUCUUCCGCAAUGGACGAAAGUCUGACGGAGCAAACGCCGCGUGAGUGAAGAAGGUUUUCGGAUCGUAAAAGCUCUGUCUUCAAAGGACGAAAUGUAGAUAUUGUGAAUAAAUGAUAUUUAAAUGACGGUACUUGAGGAGGAAGCCACGGCUAACUCCGUGCCAGCAGCCGCGGUAA